rnacentral:rRNA from 1 species
UACAGAGGGGGCAAGCGUUGUUCGGAAUUACUGGCGUAAAGGGCGCGUAGGCGGCCUUCUAAGUCGAACGUGAAAUCCCUGGGCUCAACCCAGGAACUGCGUCCGAUACUGGAAGGCUUGAAUCCGGGAGAGGGAUGCGGAAUUCCAGGUGUAGCGGUGAAAUGCGUAGAGAUCGGGAGGAACACCAGCGGCGAAGGCGGCGACCUGGACAGGUACUGACACUGAGGCGCGAAAGCUAGGGGAGCAAACAGG